GGAAAGUGCCACAGAAAGCAAACCGCCACGAUCCGUCGUGGUAAGGGUGAAAGGGUGGGGUAAGAGCCCACCGCGCGACUGGCAACAGGAGCGGCACGGUAAACCCCACCGGGAGCAAGACCGAAUAGGGACGGUGCGAGGGGAAACCCUCGAGGGCUGUUUCCGGCUCACCGUCCGGGUAGGUUGCGUGAGGUGCAUGGCAACAUGCGCCCAAGAUGAAUGGCCGCCACGUUCUCGCGCCGCAAGGGGCGAGGCCAUACAGAACCCGGCUUACAGGCCAGCUGGCAAU
rnacentral:RNase_P_RNA from 1 species